rnacentral:rRNA from 1 species
UGAGGAACAUGACCUUCGGCGGGGGAUAGCCGGCCCAACGGCCGGGUAAUACCGCGUACGACCUUUCGGGGACAUCCCUGGAUGGUGAAAGCAGCAAUGCGCCGAUGGAGUGCCUCGCGGCCUAUCAGCUAGUUGGUGUGGGUAACGGCCCACCAAGGCGUCGACGGGUAGCCGGCCUGAGAGGGCGACCGGCCACACUGGGACUGAGACACGGCCCAGACUCCUACGGGAGGCAG